UGGGCAGCCUCGGGCGACAGACUGUGCUCUCUCCACCAAGCCUUCUGCAGGUCCGGCGGCCCUGAGCUGCCCCAAGCUAGGCGACAACAUGUCCCACUGCCACCGUGGACUAGGUGUCUGUCGUGAAAGAAGGUUGUUUCCACGAGCGCAGUGAAUCCAUAAAGACCUGGAGUGACGGCUCCUCGCUGGAUGGAAGGAGCGCCGGAGCCCCCGACCAGGCCCUGCCCCCUCUCAACAACUUCUUUGUCGCAGAAAGUCCCUGAUGAAGACCAGGAGACGGUGCCCAACCCUUUUGUCAUACGCUGCCUGCAGUGGACCACAGUCAGCAAGAGGACCAUCCACGUGGACUCGCCAGAGGGAGCUACCUGGAACACACUGAGAAGGAUACUGAAGAAAUGCUGAGCUCUGCUGGAGAGAUUAUCUACUACCAAAGUCUGUCAUGGACACAAAAAGAAGUGUCGGGGCUCCUCAAGGUAAUUAGAGAAAGAGAAGGCACUUGGGAAGUUCAUUUAACUACAUCUCAAUUUAUGGAUCCAGAGAGAGCAAUGAUUAAAACAUCUAUUCUGAAAGUGUGAGGAGAAUGUACAGAGUGAAAAAGAUCCUCUUCUCCCUAGUCAACAGUCUGUUCUGAGAAGGAAUCAGUUUAAAAAAUGAUAGGUGAUGUCUCAAAGGGAUGACUAACAGGGUCAACUGUACAAAGAAGUGUUCCGAUUCCUCAUUCAGCUACCAGCCAUUCCCUCUAUCCCCACCAUCUCCGGACUCCUAUUCAAGCUGAGAGCAGACAGACUGAUGGGAAAAUAUUACCGGAGGGAAACUGCCCUUGCCUGUUUCUGAUUAUGUCUCAGGUAAGUAAUGGUGUCAUUAGAAGUUCCACCACCAGUUUCUCCAAUUCUACAGAACUGAAGAAUGAAAAGUCUUCUAAGCCAAAUGGGUAAAACUAUUCACUCAUCUAUUUAUAUACUACACCCUAUCUUGUACUUAAGUAAUUUAUGCAACGUAUCUCUCAACUGAAUUCUACUUCAUUUUCAUGUUUUAAAUAAAUAUCGAUUACCUAUUUUGUAUCAACAAAAGGAGAAGAGGAGGGAGAGGUGGGAAAAAGGAGGGGCAAGAGGAAGUGGAGGAAGGAGGAAGGUACAUGGUAACAACUGUCUUGAAUAUUUCUUUCCUUGUGCCUCAAUUCCAUAGGCAAUUCACUCCCCACCUGAAGGCAAAGAACUUUUGAAGGACUGUAACAGAGUACCUACAAAGGUCUACAAAGCCCUAGGCUCGUCAAUAUGCAGACCAAGAAUUAUAUUCAGAUGGAAUCACAUUUAUUGCAUACACACUACAAUUUUUAAAACUCAUACAGAUACUGCUAUGAUUUUUAAAAAUACAUAGUAUCUAGGGGUGAUAUUUAAAAAUAUUUAAUAACUGGUCAAGCAUGGGCUUCAACUAAUAAAACAGACUGCUGGCCCUCAAUGGCCAGCAUGGAUGGACUGGUUCCCACCAGCUGAAUAUCAGACAGCCAAUCCAGGUGAGGGAGACAACUUUCCCCAUCUCUCUUUUCUUUUUUCAAUUAAGAAGGGGUCCUCGUAGUUAAAAAAAAAAAAAAAAAAAAAUUGGGCAUUACUAUUCUUAGAAAUUUGGUUGGCUCAGAUGUUAACAACAUAUCCUAGUUAGUGAUUAAGCCACAACCCACAUGAACGAUCACAAUAAAUUUAGAAAUUAGUCUUUUCCUGGUGCUUUGUCUUUCAUCAUCUUUAACAGAAUCAUUCCCUCACCUUCCCACAAAUUCCUGUAAUUGGCCAACUCUUACCAGAUGUUUUAAAGGCUACCGACACUAACCCAUGAAAAACUGUCUUUACUUAUACUUUAUUUAGAAUAAGAAACAGCUAGUCUCAGGUUUGCAUAUUCAAUUUAGUUAAACCAUUUAAUACCCUGCUAAUAGGAAACGUUCCAACUUCAGAAGGAUAUCUGGGAUGGACUGCAAUUUGUGCUCAAGUAUUUUACCUUAGAGUGUGUCUGCAAUUAGAAGCAAUGUGUAAGACCAUAAGAAUGGACAACAGUUCUUCCCUAGUGAGAGAAGAAAACAAGCUGGGCUGGCCAGGCUACCUUCUGCUUUCAUUAGCCCAAGGAGUAACUCCAAGGCUCUCCAUCUCUGUCCCACUUUAGUCAAAUAAAUUAUUCACAUUAAUAUAUUUAGUACAUUAUACUAGUUCAAUGAGUCAUUUAGGUCAAUUUCUCAAAGCUAACAAACGAUGAUAAGAGGGACAGUAUAAUAACCUCAAGAUAAUAAAAAAAACCCUAUCUUUCCAACAGAUUCAGUACAAAGCCAAGUGACUAAGGCAACAAUUAGAAAUAAAGAUGUAGUUAUAAAGAAAAUAAAGAAUUUAGUCAUACUUACCAAAAUGUAAAUUUAAAUAGAGAUGGAUCAUACAUACUCAAAUAUAGAUCAUGUAUUUUUUUAAACCUACUGAAGUUAUAAUUUUAAAUAAAGUGGCAAAAUGACACCAUCUAAUUUCUCUUCAGAAAAUUGGUAUCCAUUCUGGUUAUCUUCUUAAUCUAAAAUUAAAAUACUGAGGGUCUCCUCAUUAGAAGAAGCUUCAGUUAUCAAAUCAUUGAAAAUAUGAAUGUAUAUUCCAACAAA